GACGAACGCUGGCGGCGUGCCUAACACAUGCAAGUCGAACGGAGUUAAGACUUCGGUUUUAACUUAGUGGCGAACGGGUGAGUAACGCGUGAGAAACCUGCCUUUCAGUGGGGGACAACAGUUGGAAACGACUGCUAAUACCGCAUAAUGUAUCUGGACCGCAUGAUCCGGAUACCAAAGCUUUAUGUGCUGAAAGAUGGUCGAGCGUCUGAUUAGCUAGUUGGUGAGGUAACGGCUCACCAAGGCGAGGAUCAGUAGCCGGUCUGAGAGGAUGAACGGCCAAAUGGGGACUGAGAUACGGCCCAGACUCCUACGGGAGGCAGCAGUGGGGAAUAUUGGGCAAUGGGGGAAACCCUGACCCAGCAACGCCGCGUGAAGGAAGAAGGCCUUCGGGUUGUAAACUUCUUUUACCAGGGACGAAGAAUGUGACGGUACCUGGAGAAAAAGCAACGGCUAACUACGUGCCAGCCGCCGCCGUAAAAC
rnacentral:rRNA from 1 species